rnacentral:tRNA from 1 species
UUCCUGGUGGCUCAGAUGGUAAAGAAUCUGCCUACCACGCAGGAGAUCCAGGUUCAAUCUCUGGGUCAGGGAA